rnacentral:rRNA from 1 species
GACGAACGCUGGCGGCGUGCUUAACACAUGCAAGUCGAACGGAAAGGCCCUGCUUUUGUGGGGUGCUCGAGUGGCGAACGGGUGAGUAACACGUGAGUAACCUGCCCUUGACUUUGGGAUAACUUCAGGAAACUGGGGCUAAUACCGGAUAGGAGCUCCUGCUGCAUGGUGGGGGUUGGAAAGUUUCGGCGGUUGGGGAUGGACUCGCGGCUUAUCAGCUUGUUGGUGGGGUAGUGGCUUACCAAGGCUUUGACGGGUAGCCGGCCUGAGAGGGUGACCGGCCACAUUGGGACUGGAGUACGGCCCAGACUCCUACGGGAGGCAGCAGUGGGGAAUAUUGCACAAUGGGCGGAAGCCUGAUGCAGCAACGCCGCGUGCGGGAUGACGGCCUUCGGGUUGUAAACCGCUUUCGCCUGUGACGAAGCGUGAGUGACGGUAAUGGGUAAAGAAGCACCGGCUAACUACGUG